rnacentral:rRNA from 1 species
AACGAACGCUGGCGGCAUGCCUAACACAUGCAAGUCGAACGAGACCUUCGGGUCUAGUGGCGCACGGGUGCGUAACGCGUGGGAACCUGCCCUUAGGUUCGGAAUCACUCCCCGAAAGGGGUGCUAAUACCGGAUAAUGUCUUCGGACCAAAGAUUUAUCGCCUUUGGAUGGGCCCGCGUUGGAUUAGCGAGUUGGUAGGGUAAAAGCCUACCAAGGCGACGAUCCAUAGCUGGUCUGAGAGGAUGAUCAGCCACACUGGGACUGAGACACGGCCCAGACUCCUACGGGAGGGAGCAGUGGGGAAUAUUGGACAAUGGGCGAAAGCCUGAUCCAGCAAUGCCGCGUGAGUGAUGAAGGCCUUAGGGUUGUAAAGCUCUUUUACCCGGGAUGAUAAUGACAGUACCGGGAGAAUAAGCUCCGGCUAACUCCGUG